rnacentral:rRNA from 1 species
GAUAAACGCUAGCGGCAGGCCUAACACAUGCAAGUCGAACGGUAACAGGUGUAGCAAUACAUGCUGACGAGUGGCGCACGGGUGCGUAACGCGUAUGCAACUUACCUAUAACAGGGAAAUAGCCUCGAGAAAUCGAGAUUAAUGUCCCAUAACAUUACGAAUUCGCAUGUUUUUGUAAUUAAAGCUCCGGCGGUUAUAGAUAGGCAUGCGUGACAUUAGUUAGUUGGUGAGGUAACGGCUCACCAAGACUUCGAUGUCUAGGGGGUCUAAGAGGAUGAUCCCCCACACUGGUACUGAGACACGGACCAGACUCCUACGGGAGGCAGCAGUGAGGAAUAUUGGUCAAUGGACGCAAGUCUGAACCAGCCAUGCCGCGUGCAGGAUGACGGCCCUAUGGGUUGUAAACUGCUUUUAUUCGGGAAGAAACCUUUGCUCGUGAGCGAAGCUGACGGUACUGAAUGAAUAAGCAUCGGCUAACUCCGUG